GGUGAGAUGGCUCAAUGGGUAAGAGCACCCGACUGUUCUUCCGAAGGUCCAGAGUUCAAAUCCCAGCAACCA
rnacentral:tRNA from 1 species